rnacentral:rRNA from 1 species
AUUGAACGCUGGCGGCAGGCUUAACACAUGCAAGUCGAGCGGAGCGAGGGUGCUUGCACCUUAGCUUAGCGGCGGACGGGUGAGUAAUGCUUAGGAAUCUGCCUAUUAGUGGGGGACAACAUUCCGAAAGGAAUGCUAAUACCGCAUACGCCCUACGAGGGAAAGCAGGGGAUCUUCGGACCUUGCGCUAAUAGAUGAGCCUAAGUCGGAUUAGCUAGGUGGUGGGGUAAAGGCCUACCAAGGCGACGAUCUGUAGCGGGUCUGAGAGGAUGAUCGGCCACACGGGGACUGAGACACGGGCCGGACUCCUACGGGAGGCAGCAGUGGGGAAUAUUGGACGAUGGGCGGAGGCCUGAGCCAGCCAUGCCGCGUGUGUGAAGAAGGCCUUUUGGUUGUAAAGCACUUUAAGCGAGGAGGAGGCUACUUAGAUUAAUACUCUGGGAUAGUGGACGUUACUCGCAGAAUAAGCACCGGCUAACUCUGUGCCAGUCGCCGCAGUAAUAC